AACAUAAUAUCAUUCAUAUCAAUUUGAGUAUAGACAACACAACUGUGGAGAAAAUCUUGUGAAUGAUAUUACAUUUUUCAAUCUGUCAAUGUAAACUACAGGUAUUGCUAAGUAAAAUCUUCUUCGCUGCUUGAUCCAACCGAAGAAUUCAGCUGCAACUCAAUUAUCCUUCUUUUCAAUCUGUAAAAGAAAAUUGAACCUUACAGAUAUGUGAUUAAAUGUAUACAAAUAUAAAUUCGAAAUAUGAAAGAAAAAAUACUUUAACUUACAAAAGCUCAAGGCCAUAUAAUUAAGUAUCCUGAAGCAAAGGCGUCGCCAAUUCUCUACAAUCCAAAACUUCCCUUGCUAACUCCUCAUUAUCCAGAAUAGGUUCAUCCAUGGCAAAGUUAUAAAGAAUAUAAACAUUCUAUAGGAACUAUCAAUGAGCGCGUCCAUAUGACUACAUAAACAUAUACCUGGAAACUAGUAGCCAGCAUUACAAUGCCUUUAAGCAACAUGGAACUGUUAUUCAUAAACCCUUGAGGCAUCGACACUAACUGAGCUCCCCGCAAACAUU
rnacentral:lncRNA from 1 species